UAAUUACCUCGUAUUUGUUUUGGGAGAUCAUGUUUUUGUUAAUUCCAGAUAAUGAAUACAAACAAUAACACGUAUAAGUACGUGUCUCAAAGUAAACAAACAGCUACAUCGUAUGAUAACAAAAGGCCAGUCGUUCGUUGAAGGACUAGACGUACGGACGUGUUCAUUCUCGCUCGUCUUCUCGUACCAUUAAGCUGCGUACAUUCGUACAUUUAUAGAACGGAAAAAUCUAGUGACGUAUAUGCGGAUUCCCUAAGCACGGUAUCAACAUCUUCGGAAUUGCCGGCGAGAACUACUUCGAUAACGUUAGCCCAUUCGAAUGAUCUAUCGGAACAUAUGUAACCGAGCGAGCUCGAUUUAAAUGACUCGAAGGACGGCUAAGUACUCUCCUCUUGUUCGAACGUUACUGGAACGUCGAGAAUCGUCGAGGGAUCGAAGUGUGAUGCGCUUCUCUCGUGCACUCCGAGGAACAGAGAGCAUUGGUAUGAGUGCUUUUUGGACGAGAAUGAGAGAGAGAGAGAGAGAGAGAGAAAGACAACGCGAGCACUAAGAGAGAAAAAGAGAGAGAGAGAGAGAGAGAAUAUAUAUAACGUGUAUGUACGUGUCGGUUGUUAACGGUGAAAUAUCGACCAUUUUCGAAGCCACAGUCGAGCAGGAUUCUCUUGGGAUGCAAAGGGCUGCUAUGCUUAUGAUAUUAACGCGCUAACUGCCGCUCGUUUCCUGCGGUCAGCGAAACAUUAGCGUACGUAGCCCGUGGGACAACGCGUUACGAUUUUGCGGGCUCGCGUGGUAAUCAACUCGAGAGUCCUCGUUUGCCUUAUUCUUCGAAUAUUGGUAUUAAGGUAACUGGAAAAGGACAAAUAAAGAAAGAGAAAAAAAAAAGAAAAAAAAAUAAAAAGGAAGGAGAAUCUUAAUUCUCGUAUCGAUAUUAUUAUUCAUCGAAUUUAUUUCUUCGAUCGAGAACUCGGUACUCGUUUUAUUUUUACAUUUACUCAUUUAUAUUCAUUGAUUCUCGAUAUAAAAGUUGCGCCAUUAAAUUAAUUAAUAUUAAAGGGAGAACAUGCAAUUUCGUUAAUGAAAUUUUCAUCAACGAUAGUAUUAAUCAAUGAUUAAACGAUUGUAUCCUCGUUGGUCGAGAUAAAUACUAUAAACUUGAUUAGCGAUUCCGUGUGAUAUAUGAAAACGACACCAUCGGCCACAUAUUCGAGUAGGAGUUUGCUCGUUUUAGAAGCACGCGGAUACGCAUGGGAAUUCGAGUACCGUCCACUCUCCGCCAAGUUUCAUAUUUCCUCGAGUGUUCUGACAGAAAUACGAAGCCCGGAGGCGAAGUGGAUGCGUUCGCGCAGUUUCGUCGCGGCCGCGACAAACUCGAUUACAUUAAACGUUUGGUUAACAAGCAGAGCUUCGAGGGAAAAUGUUGCGAAAGGAUAACCAAUGAAAAAAGGAAAAAAAAAGAUGAGAGAGAGAGAGAGCGAGAGAAAUAAAGAAAGAAAACUAAUUUGAUAUUUUCUCCGUUUGAUAAUUUUUUUCAUUUCUUACUUUCAUUCUUUCUUUUUCUUUUUUUUUUAUUCCAAUCAUCAUCCUCGGCAUAGCCAAAAUCGAAAUCGUGAAUUCGUUCACAGAAGAUAGAAAAUCCAUUAAUCGAGCCACGACGACACGUGCUUCUCCAUAAAUUGCGGAGUACUGGAGGUACGCGUUCGGAGGGCAGUUUAAACACAGCGAAAGGGUAGGCACAUUGGGGGAGUAGUCGAGGUACUACCGCCUCCGCCAUCGCUACUGUUGCUGCUAGCCAUGUGUUGGGAUAGGUCGGCUUUAUUCCGGAAGCCAAGCUCGUACCUUCCGACUGGAAGUUAAUUCGUGCCUCGAUUUAACCGCCGGAAAAUCCAUCGACCGAUCGCCCCAUAAUACGGUAGCCGUUCGCAACAGGAUGGAAAUCAUCGAGAGAGAAAGAGAGAGAGAGAGAGAGAGAGAGAGAAGGUCGCUGCGUGUAAGCCUCACACAUCAACCCUUACCAUCAUCCCACCUUUCCGCUUCUCCUUCGUCCCACCGCGUCACCUUUCUCUCUUGCUGUUGUUAGUACUACCACUACUACUACUACUACUACUACUACUAUUACUACUGCUGCUGCUGCUGUUGCUGCUGCUGCUGCUGCUGCUGCUAUUGCUUUGCCAUACUGCUGCUUUUGGUACUGCUGUUGUUGCUGUUGCUGCUACUAGUCCGUCGAUUAAGCAUAAUAAUUAAUUAAUACUGCGAAUCCCGAAGGCCAACGUCGAGCUCGUCUCUCGCCACGGGCACCUCCUUCUCUCGGGCACUCCUCUCUCUCUCUCUCUCGCUCUCUCAUUCUGGAAACUACGGCAUUUCUCUGCCGUCGACGGUUUACGUGCCUCGCGUUAAUGCCAAUUUAGCGUCUUUCGCUGAAUCGCCGUUGGGAAAGCAUUUUAGAACGCAUUGUAAAUGGUAAUCACGCUUACGUACAACCCCAGUACGCGUCGACCAUCUUUAAAUGCAUUUGGAAAAGCACAGAUAUCGGAUAGUUUUAUUUUUCCUUUCAUUUUCAUUCUUUUUUCCUUUCUUUCUUUCUUUCUUUGUUACUUAUAUAGGUAAGAUAUCGUUCAUAAGACGAGAAGAAAAUGUGCUUCCUUUUCUUUUUUUCUUUCAUAGAAACAUUCGAACAGUUAAAACAAUCGUUCAGUUCGAGUUCUCUAACGAGUUGUUUAUCGCCUUUAACGAUUUAGCCGUGUCGUCGAAGUAAUUUUUAGGGCUAGUUUUGCAAUCGAGUAAAUCGCAGGUAAACUUUGUCUUAACUCGUCGACUGGGAAUAAGGGAGAAGGAAAAAAAAUUGGUCGCUAACAACUCUUAAUGAAAUAACUACGUCACGAGGGUGGAAAGUUUGAAAGUCACAAUCGUUUCUCUCUCUCUUUCUCUUUAUCUCUCUCUCUCUCUCUCUCUCUCUCCUUCUCUUUCUUUCGCGCGCGUUCUCUAAGGAGGAGAAGCAGAAGAAGAAGAAGAAGAAGAAAAAAUGGAAAGAAGUGGAAAAAGAAAAACUACGUUCAAGAAUCGGAAUGGUAGCGGAACUGCACGAGCGUUACUAACAUUCUCGGAAAUAGCCGAUUUCUCGAAAGCCUCGCUUUUAUCCCUCGAUCUCCUUUAUGUCUUUCGAUGUAAUCUGUCGUUUCUUUUCUUUCUUUUUUUUCCUUUUUUUCCUCUUCCUCUUUUCCUUUCUCUUCUUUUUUUUCUUGUUCCUUUUCAAAAUUAGAUUUUUCCCUUCGAACCAAAAGUCUCCCCGUUCCCUGCUAAAACGCGAUUUUCCCAUUUAAAAUUGCAUAUCCGAAGGAGGCACGAUAGGAAUAAAUAUACAUAGAACAAAGAAAGUCGUUAAAAAAAAGUUAAACGUAGGAAAAGAAAAAAAAAAUUCCUUUGGAAAUUUUUACUUUCGAUGUAAGCUUUGCUAAUUUCGUAUUCAGACGAGAUUGGAAAUCGUCAUUUCCAUUAGUUUUGCCGAAAUUUAAAUCCAUCUAUCUCAUCGCCGAUUAUCGUCGAAAUCGGCUCGCCAAUUUAUCGAACGAUAAAUAAAGUGGACAUCGAAAGAGAGGAAAAAAAAAGAAAAUGUAGAAAAAAAAAACAGUAAAAUAAAAAAAACAGUUAAAAAAACAGUAAAAAAAAAAUAGGGAGAAAAAAUUUAUUCGCGCUAGGGCAUCGUAUAUUCCGAUGUUCAAUCGGUAUCACAUACUCUUAUAACAUCCCGAUAACGUUAAACGCAAUUCAUGUUUAUAUAUAUAUAUAUAUAUAUAUAUAAAACAAUAUAUAUAUAUAUAUAUCAUAUAUUGCAGUGCAUGUACUCGACUGUAGUCCCACUAAAAUCGCUUGUAGAUCCGAUCUCUUCGACGAAUCCCAGUUUCGUGAAAAAUCGGCAUCGCAAUGACGGUCAUCCGUUAGAGCAUCGUUAAAAAUUGCCUGACUCGUUGCAUACAUAUGCAACGAGGAGUGGGCGACAGUUUUCAACGAUUCAUUCGACGUGAAUCACGUGGAAUCAAGCUUGGACGUCGUAUAAUCACUGGUAUUAUAUAUAGUCAAGUGUGCCAAUGAAAAUAGGGUUUUGCUUCGCAAUUUGAUUGAAAACUUUUGUGCGAUCAUGCCUAUCAGAAUGUUUAUGGGAUUUUUCUCGUUUCCUCUUUUUCUCCCUCUCCCCUUUUUUUAAUGUCUGUCUCUCUCUCUCUCUCUCUCUCUCUCUCUCUCUCUCUCUCUCUCUCUCUCUAUCUAUAUAUAUAUAUUCUCUUUAUAUCUUCCUCGAUGAGAAUACAUUCAUUCGCAUAUUUCCCCGAUCUCGUUAUUUCUCAUAAAGCUUUUCAUUUUAGGUACGUACCGUACGUACGUACAUGCGUUAAUACAAAAUAUUUCAAUGUUUAUUGUAUUCCAAUACUAUACAUCAAUGCAUGCAUAUCAAAAGCAACGAUUAAUUGAUAAAAUGACGAGGAAGAUAAAGUUUAUCAUUUAGAAAGUUUUGAUCAUGAAAAUAAGUAAAAGCUUUGAAUUAAUUUUUUUUCGAACUAGUUUCAUAUCUUUCAUAAACUUUGACAUCUUAAUGUUAAAAUUCAUUCUAUUUCAUAUGCUUAAUAUAAAUAAAGUAGGAGAAAGUUCGUGAUAUAUUUUUAUUGUUUUUAAUAAGAGAAAGAGAGAAUGCGAAAUAAUGAGAGAGAAAGAAAGAGAAAUCGUAUGAGAAAAAUGCUUAGAAGUGCAAAAAUUGGUCGGUUGGAAAGAGAUCAGCGAACAAAGUAGAAAACUGAAAAAAGAAAGAAAAGAAAAAGAAAAUGGUAGGUAGCUGCUGCUAUGAAAAAAAAAAAAA